UACAGAGGGUGCGAGCGUUAAUCGGAAUUACUGGGCGUAAAGCGCACGUAGGCGGCGACGUAAGUCGGGUGUGAAAGCCCCGGGCUCAACCUGGGAACUGCAUUCGAGACUGGAGUGCUGGAGUACGGAAGAGGAGGGCGGAAUUCCCGGUGUAGCGGCGAAAUGCGUAGAUAUCGGGAAGAACAUCAGUGGCGAAGGCGGCCCUCUGGUCCAGUACUGACACUCAGGUGCGAAAGCGUGGGGAGCAAACAGG
rnacentral:rRNA from 1 species